UACGAAGGGGGCUAGCGUUGCUCGGAAUCACUGGGCGUAAAGCGCACGCAGGCGGUUUGCUUAGUCUCGUGCUGACAGUGUCGGGCUUAACCCGGCAAGUGGUAGGGAACUGGCAAACUUGAGGGCUUCAGAGGGAUGUGGAAUUCCUGGUGUAGCGGUGAAAUGCGCAGAUAUCAGGAAGAACACCCGUGGCGAAGGGCGGCUCUCUGGGACGGUACUGACGCUGAGACGCGAAAGCGUGGGGAGCGAACAGG
rnacentral:rRNA from 1 species